AGAACGAACGCUGGCGGCAUGCCUAACACAUGCAAGUCGAACGUGAUCCAUGACUUCGGUUGUGGUGAAAGUGGCAAACGGGUGAGUAACGCGUGGGAAUCUGCCCAGAGGUAGGGAAUAACCGCGGGAAACUGCGGCUAAUACCCUAUGUGCCCUACGGGGCAAAGAUUUAUCGCCUUUGGAGGAGCCCGCGUCGGAUUAGGUAGUUGGUAGGGUAACGGCCUACCAAGCCUACGAUCCGUAGCUGGUCUGAGAGGAUGAUCAGCCACACUGGGACUGAGAUACGGCCCAGACUCCUACGGGAGGCAGCAGUGGGGAAUAUUGGACAAUGGGGGCAACCCUGAUCCAGCAAUGCCGCGUGAGUGAUGAAGGCCUUCGGGUUGUAAAGCUCUUUCGGCGGGGAAGAUGAUGACGGUACCCGCAGAAGAGCCCGGCUAACUCGUGCCAGCAGCCGC
rnacentral:rRNA from 1 species